rnacentral:rRNA from 1 species
CCUACGGGAGGCAGCAGUGGGGAAUUUUGGACAAUGGGCGCAAGCCUGAUCCAGCAAUGCCGCGUGAGUGAAGAAGGCCUUCGGGUUGUAAAGCUCUUUUGUCAGGGAAGAAACGGUGGGAGCUAAUAUCUUCCACUAAUGACGGUACCUGAAGAAUAAGCACCGGCUAACUACGUGCCAGCAGCCGCGGUAAUACGUAGGGUGCAAGCGUUAAUCGGAAUUACUGGGCGUAAAGCGUGCGCAGGCGGUUUUGUAAGUCUGUCGUGAAAGCCCCGGGCUCAACCUGGGAAUUGCGAUGGAGACUGCAAGGCUUGAAUCUGGCAGAGGGGGGUAGAAUUCCACGUGUAGCAGUGAAAUGCGUAGAGAUGUGGAGGAACACCGAUGGCGAAGGCAGCCCCCUGGGUCAAGAUUGACGCUCAUGCACGAAAGCGUGGGGAGCAAACAGGAUUAGAUACCCUGGUAGUCCACGCCCUAAACGAUGUCUACUAGUUGUCGGGUUUUAAUUAACUUGGUAACGCAGCUAACGCGUGAAGUAGACCGCCUGGGGAGUACGGUCGCAAGNUUAAAACUUCAAAUUGAAAUUGACGG